rnacentral:rRNA from 1 species
AUUAGGAGCUGGAAUGAAAGAGGCGACGAAAUCUAGACUAUUUAAGUUUUAAUAUAAAUUGACAGGCGGGUCAAAAGGCCCGCAUACACCAGGGGGACGAUAAGACCCUAUAAAACUUUACUUUCGGGCCGACGCCCUGCGGGAGGGAGAGUGUCUGAGAGUUUGACUGGGGCGGUUAUUAUAGAAACAAUUAUAGAUAAAAUAUAUUAUAUAGACGGGUAGAACUCUCUAGAGAAAUAGAACAAGUUACUUUAGGGAUAACAGCGCGAUCCCCUCAGAGAGUCCUGAUUGGCGGGGGGGCUUACGACCUCGAUGUUGAAUUGGGAUCCCACGUAUGAGCAAAUAUAUAUAUAGGUAGUCUGUUCGACUAUNAAACUCCC